AAGAUGAAUGACACUAUUUAUAUAUAUUUUAAAAUAAGGUGAUAGAGGCAUUUUAAUGUUAUACACAGCUUACAGUUAAACAUAUUGAAAAUGGCAUUGAGAUUAGAAACAUAAAUGAAUGAAGCAUGAAGUAAUGUACAAAGAUUUGGUUGAGCCAGCUCCGAAGCUACAUUUUAUCAUCAGCAAUUGGGGAGAAGUUUGCUUUAAAUACAGCUUUGAGUAAUAGAAAUAAGAUAGUGCACCACAGCCAAGAUGGGUACGAAUGAUUAGUAAAAUAAUAUCCAAACAAAUUUCCUUCUGUUUUAGUGGGGCUCACAAAAACAUUUGUGCCACAUAUUCGGGGCCUGAGACCAUUGUGAAGAUAACCAACUUCCAUGAAUUAGAAUGACAGUUUCAGUUCCCCUCAGAUUUCAUAGCAGUUUUAUAAAACUGUCAGUAACCAGAGUUUAAAAUAUAGCAGCAGGGCCGGCAGGGAAGGAGAGAGAAGUAACAUGUAUUCAGUACCCGCUUUGUAAGUGACACAUUUGCUAAGUGCUUUAUAUGUCAUCUUAUUUGGUCUUCCCCAAGAUCCCCAUGAACAAGAAAUCUUUAUUUCUCUUCCAAGCAAGGGGGAAGGGGGAAGGAGGGAGGGAGAGAGAGAAAGAGAAAGAAAGAGAGAGAAAGAGAGAGAGAGAGAAAUUGUCCAGCAUGUUAAAACUGGUAGUUGGAAGAAUCAGUACUAAAAAUCAAACCUAUUGACUCCAAGAACCAUUGUCCUUCUAUCAUAUCAGCUAAAGUACUUUUAAAUGACACACAGAGUCCAUUCCAUAAACUACAUAGAAAUGGGAAAAGUUCGACUAUUGCCUCAAGUUUUACAAAUCACAGUGACCAAAACCAAAACGUCAAAAUGUACCAUCCUACUAGUGGCCUGUACCUAAAGGAGAAUAAUCAAAUAGAUUAUUGGCAAAUACUAAAGAAGCUAUAUAGUAUUUUCCACAGAGACAAUUCGAUUGCCCAUGAAAAACACAUUUCAUCUCUAAGCCAAAUGUACCCAUGUCAAGAACUCCACUGAGUACAUCUAAGGCCUCCCCAUACAUGCUCUUCCUCUAAAGAGGGAGAUGUAACAGUGGUUAAGUAGGUGAUGUCAGGAAUCAGAAUGCCUGGUUAAGAAUCCUGGCUUUGAAAACCACAGGCUAUGUCACUAUGGGCCGGUUAUCCACUUACGCAUCAUGCUUCUUAACUGAAAAAUGAGACUAAAAAUAAUUUCUUUUCCAUAAUGUUAGCAAAGUGACAUUUGUCUCAUUGAAUCUCUGAGCAGAAGGAGUAGCGGACCAAACAAAGAGGUAAAUAUGCAAAGCACAGCUUCAAACAGCUGUGGACACUUUAAAGCUGGGGUCUGCCGAGUACUUCUUUGAAAUGAGUACUGUCUCACCUGCAGCUGCAUCUCUCGUCUCAUUUGCAAACCAAGGAUGGAUCUGUAAGAAUGAAAUUGAUGACUGCGUUGAUUCCCCCGAGAGUUCAUCCUUUUCCUGUGGCAAAUCUUUUCCCAAGUGAGAAUCUCUAGAAUCAUCACGACCAAUACCCAGUUACAUCCCAUUUCGAAAUGAAAUAAAACUGACUCCACUCUAAA